AACGAACGCUGGCGGCAGGCCUAACACAUGCAAGUCGAGCGCGCCCUUCGGGGUGAGCGGCGGACGGGGGAGUAACGCGUGGGAACGUGCCCUUUUCUACGGAAUAGCCUCGGGAAACUGAGAGUAAUACCGUAUACGCCCUUUGGGGGAAAGAUUUAUCGGAAAAGGAUCGGCCCGCGUUGGAUUAGGUAGUUGGUGGGGUAAUGGCCUACCAAGCCGACGAUCCAUAGCUGGUUUGAGAGGAUGAUCAGCCACACUGGGAAUGAGACACGGCCCAGACUCCUACGGAGGGCAGCAGUAGGGAAUCUUAGACAAUGGAGGCAACCCUAAUCUCGCCAUGCCGCGUAAGUGAUGAAGGCCUUAGGGUUGUAAAGCUCUUUCAGCUGGGAAGAUAAUGACGGUACCAGCAGAAGAAGCACCGGCUAACUCCGUG
rnacentral:rRNA from 1 species